CUUUAGUUUAGCAAUUCUGUUACACACUUGCUCCUUUCUGCAUCAUACUUGCUCCUAGACACUACACACUACUUCAUAAAUAAGACACUUAUUCUCAGGGUACCAUUGGAAAAACACAUCUAUUCAAAAUACAACACACAUUGGUUAAUUGAAAAAACGUAGACACACACCUGAAAACACUUACUUACAAAAUUGAACACCAAUCAGCAAGCUACAAAAAGGCGGAAGGAGGAAGAGGAAGACAGAGAAAGAGAGGAGGACGUGAUCGAAGAGGCCAUGCAAGGGCCAUUAUUUCGGGUUUGACAUAAGAGCAACUUUGGUGCACCAUGUCAUAAACCUUCGCCUGACUAUGAGGGAAGAUGGGAAGAGAGUCCACACUAAUGUAAGGACUUUCAUAGUUUCAUCCAUAAUAAGGACAUUCCGACAGGAAAACAGAAUGGCUAGAAGACCUACUGGGGGUGGACGGUGGUGCCUGUUCACCCAACAGCAGUAUCUUGCCAUAGUGAACCUAGUCAGAGCAAACACUGCAAUCCGUCUCCACCAGCUACAGCCACAAAUACUUGCAGAUAGGCAAGUAUUCAACAACAUAAAUCGAGUAAGCAUUACCACUAUCAGACGCAUCUUGGUAAAGCACAACAUGACUGUGAAGCAAUUGUAAAGGGUCCCAUUUGAGAGGAACAGUGUUGGGGUCAAAGAACUUCAACAUGAAUAUGUACAGAGAAUCUUGGACAUGGAUGGAGCUGGCCAGCCGCAUGAAUGUAUUUAUAUUGACGAGGCUGGAUUCAACCUUAGCAAAAACAGACGAUAGGGAUGCCAAAGGGCAAUGGUGCACGUCCCGGGGCAGCGCGGGGGAAAUAUCACAUUGUGUGCUGCCCUAAGUCUUCGAGGACUACUGCACCAUCAUGCCAAACUGGGUCCCUAUAAUGCACAACACAUAAUCACAUUUCUAGAUGCACUUUAUGAUGCACAGGAUUGUACAGGAUGGACCAGAGCAGCCCAGGUUUGUUGUUGUCUGGGAAAAUGUUAGUUUCCGUCGGGCUGCUCUGGUCCAGAACUGGUUCACCAACCAUUAUCAGUUUGAAGUUUUAUACUUGCCCCCUUACUCGCCAUUUCUAAAUCCUAUAGAGGAAUUUAUCUCCACUUGGAGAUAGCAGGUAUAUGACCCAACCACAUGCCCGUAUGCCUCUUCUGCAGGCAAUGGAACAGGCCUGCGGAGACAUUGAAUUAAGGUCAAUCCAGGGAUGGGUUCGGCGCACAAGGGGAUUUUUUUCCCCCAUGCUUAGCGAGAGAAGACAUUACUUGUGAUGUUGAUGAGAGCCUGUGGCCAGACCCAAACAGACGGCAGGAUCCAUAAGCCCACUUUCGCAGAAUUGUAUUUUUCUGUUUUUACUGUAGUAUAUUGUUUGUUUUUUUAUUUUUGCUUUAACUGAAUUUACUGUACUGUAAAAUAUACUAAUGUAAUGAUUUUGAAUUGAGUAUUUCAUUUUUUGGUUGUGAAAACAUGCCCUCUGUGGAA